GACGAACGCUGGCGGCGUGCCUAAUACAUGCAAGUCGAACGAGUUGCGAACGGGUGAGUAACGCGUGGUAACCUGCCUCAUAGCGGGGGAUAACUAUUGGAAACGAUAGCUAAUACCUCAUACUUUGAGAUGUACCUGCGUUGUAUUAGCUAGUUGGUGAGGUAAAGGCUCACCAAGGCGGCGAUCCCUAGCUGGUCUGAGAGGAUGACCGGCCACACUGGAACGUGGACACGGACCAGACUCCUACGGGAGGCAGCAGUGGGGAAUGUUGCACAAUGGGGGCAAGCCUGAUGCAGCCAUGCCGCGUGUAUGAAGAAGGCCUUCGGGUUGUAAAGAACUUUAAGCGGGGAGACGGUACCCGCAGAAGAAGCACCGGCUAACUCCGUGCCAGCAGCCGCGGUAAUAC
rnacentral:rRNA from 1 species